GAUCAGAUGAAAAGAAAAAGCAAAGAUUCUGUCUGUCCUGACCGCCCUGCAGGUUAAGCUGCCCUGCAGCCAGCAGAGUGCCUGGCAUACGGGAGGCACCCUGUGCAGCAGCCAGGGCUACUCGCCCAACUGGGAGGAGGCGGAUGGUGGGUAAAAGUGAGCACUGGGCCUUCCUGAUGUGAGGCGAGGAUGUGGAUCUGGGAGGAAAGACAAAUGAAGAAGCAGGUGGACAGCCCCAGCUGGGCUCCAGGUGGGGCCUGGGGUAAAGUGACCCUUCUGCAUUGCUUUCCUGCUCUGGGUACCCGUAACUGCUAACAGACCAGGGCUGAGUCCCCAGGCAGCCUUCUUGUCUGGGGUUCAGUCUGUGCCACCCUCUCCAACUCACCUACUCUCUGUUUUCCAUCUGCACUGAGACCUUGUGAACCACCGUGAAAAAUGCUUCUCACUUCCAGUCCCAAGAGAGGUGGAGAGCCGCAGUAGAACGUUGCAGAAGGAGAGGCGGCUUCUAGCUGGGGAUGUGGGGGCUGGCCCUUGAGCAGGACUUUGCAGGAUGGGGUGGACAUCCAUUGCUAUAUAUUCUCCUGGUGCUGUGCUAUAGGACCCCCUACUGUUUCAGGAAUAAAGCCCAGCCCCUGCCAGGUGCUUGCAGUCCAGGGGGCACCCAGGUGAGUGGCAGUCAGGGCCAACACUGUGUGGUGGCAGGGCUGGGCUGGGAGCCUCACAUACAUUUUCCUCAUGAUCUUCCCCUGUGACCUUGGUGAUUUCCUGAGAUUUUUGUCAGUCCUUCCCGUUCUGCAAGUUGAUCAGUUUGGCCCUUUGGUUUUCAGAUUUUUAUGGAAAGAACUUCUCUCAUCCCUGCUUCAUAUCCUUUCAGUUCUGUCCAAAGGCAAAUCUCUGACGCAUUCCCACUCCGGCCAUCUGACGAGUGCUGGGUCACGAGGGCAGGCUGCAGCCUCCCUUGCAGUUCCUUGCCUUAGACGCCCGUGCCAGCCCAUUCAACCAUCACAAAUGCUCAGACAGAGCAGAAGGUUCCCAACAGGCUGCGCCUGCGCUGGACCACCCCCUUUCCUCCUUCCUUCAGCUGCCCCUCUUUCUGGAUGGGUAAAAGCACUUCCAUGUUUUCAGAGGCGUGGAGGGAGCCCGAGAAGAGCAGAUGUUGACACCACCAUCACUGCCUGCAGCAGUGAGACCAGGGGCACAGUUUUUGUUGAAAGGGUCGACCAGGAAGCACUUCCUUGACUCUGUCCUAAAGCCUCUGGAGAGCCCUUAAAUUUGUGGUCCUUGAAGCUAUUGUAAAGGUAUUAUUCAGGAACAAGAUGGGCAAAACAUGAAUAGGACAAGCUUUCUGCUCUCCAGGGACUCCCUUGAAGAUGUGUCACAACCCCAAGCCAGUAUGGUCGGGGUUGGCUUCCUUUUUCAUUGCUGCUGAGGAAGCUGAGAUGCAGGCUCCAAGCAAGAAGUCAGGAGACUGGGGUGCUGGG
rnacentral:lncRNA from 1 species